AUGAGAGAUCCACUCUGGGGAGAGAAGUGCUUUACCUCAGCUGUCUUUCAGCACCUGAGAUGGUUAGGGUUUAGUUCCUGGGCCAUGCUUAGAGUCACUCUCCUGACCCUGCUCCACUGCCCCUCGCCUGAGAAAGAGCAGUUUGCAACAGUGUUUGGUCCAAGGAAGUCCUCUCCUCUGUGGCUGCUGGAUUUCAGGACCAAGUUUCCAGAAUGGGGCUGCGAGGCUCCAAGUGAUAAAACCAAGGACAAAUGUGCCGGGCUCCUUUUACCGGGAUCCACUGAUCAGCCUCGUGAAGAGCUCACGACUGCUGAGCUGCACCGUGACGUCUGUCUAAGGCCCAUCAGAUGAGCUCUCUGGAGGCCCCUGACUGCGGCCUCUGCCGCUCCAACCUCUGGGCUUGAGGCAGUGAAUGGAAGCCACGCCCUCCUCCCCUAAGCACGGUUAGGGGCACCUCUUCUGAGGCACGUAGUGCAGACAGCUCAGUUACAGAGACACUGCGGGUGGCUGGGCCUCCCAGAAGUCAGUGCACAAGACUGCUGUGGCUGGAGGUGCAUUCGUUAAAAGCCGGGCUUCCAGACGGAGAGGACUGGUACACCCCACGCUGCCCCCAGGGGUGAAGAGCAGUGAGUGACACCCUAAACAGGCCUCGGUCACCGGCGGGGCAGACCUUACCCACCCUUCCAGGAAAGGGCCUUGUUCAAUCCCCGCACGCUGCUCCACGCCUGGCUCCCCAUUUGAUCCCAUCAGUGUUGCCUGAGCGACUCCGCUCGUAAUCUCACAGCUGCCUGUAGCUCCGUUCCAGCCCCAAAUACUCCUCUGGCAGGCGGGAUCCCUGGCACCCACUUUCUGGGCCCCCUUCCAUUCCUCCCAGACAGAAGCUGCCUUUCUUGCAAUAAAUUCUUCCUACU
rnacentral:lncRNA from 1 species